GAUGCCAACUCUACCAUCUCGAGGUAAAAAGACUGGUUGCCCAUUAUCAGCAUGAAGGAGCCGUCUUUCACCUCAUGGACCCAAGAGCCCCUUCAAGGGAUCUGUGUCCGGAGUCGGGGCAGGUGAUGUUAUUCACAUUCCUGUGUCCCCUGAAGAUGAUUUAUACAAGAAUGUGGAGUGAAUCCAUGCCUAAAACAUGAGAAAGUCAACAUAUGCACCAGCUCACUUGGAGUCUGCUGAGAUCCUGUGUGAGGAAGAGCUGGUUGCGAGCUGCACCGUUUAAUUAUAGACAUCGAGGAGCUGUGAAGUCCAGGUGUGACUGCCAAGAAAAAAAAAUCCAGAGAAGCCAGAACCCCAGCAUGCAGCCCUGCCUGCAGCUGCCACACACACACUGAAAACCCAAAGGAAGUUAGGAUCAAGAGGCAGAAGGAGCCAGCCAGGUCUGUGCCCUUUACCUCAAGAAUUCUUUUUGUGAACACUGAAUCAGCCAGAAACUCUGGAGAAGAGAAGAGCACCUUUUAAAGAGUCGCAGUAAUCAAGGAAAAGCUAUUCAUAACAGAGAAGAGCUAUUCUUCUCUUCCCGAUUGAUGUUAGGAGGGCUGGCUACAUCUUCAGAUCUCACCAUGGAGUUAAUCGUGCUCGAACACAAGAUCCUAGGAAGUGCUGGUAUUCCCUAGUUCCAGGGCUGCAUCGCCAUGGGUACGCCGAGCUUUCGUGGGUUACCUGAGCUGCUUCUGUCAUCUCCUACCCGGGCUUCGCCAACCUGCGCCCCAGUCCGGACCGUGUGCAUCUGCCGCACUGCGCACGAGGAAGACCUGCUGGCCAAGCUCCGGCCAGGGUCUCCUCGCAGCUGGAUGAGGAGACCUGGAGGGUAGGGCAAGGCUACAGAAGACCCAGGGUGGGACGGCUAGGAGAACGCAAAGGACCCGGGAAGGGAGAGUUAGGAAUACUACACAUGCAGUACCCAGCAACGCGUGCACCCAGUUCGGCCUCUCCCAGGGAUGGGUGCGGGGGAAACAGCCCAGGCUGAGAUAUGGUGGCAUUUUACCCGAGAAUGGAGCUGAAGACGGAUAAACCAGGUAUCGGAUGUGUCUGUCUGACGAGGCAGAGUUGGAGAAAUGCAGAGUGAGGGUGCGCGUGGAAAGCAAGAGAGGCCGAGUGCGGGGUGAUUUUUCUGCUACUCACUGCACGUUCUCAUCCUAGGGAGGAUGGCAUAAUUUAUAACCCGGUACAUGGAUGGAGGAACUGUAAAUUGCAGUCUGGAUGUCCCCGGGGCUGUCAACGCCGAAACUGAUGAGCUAGGUGGCUGCAACAGUGUCCCCAGAGAUACAGCAACCUUGCCACAUGGAUUUAAAUGCAUGUGCGUGUGUGUAGAGCCGUGGUGG